UACGGGGGGAGCAAGCGUUGUUCGGAUUUACUGGGCGUAAAGGGCGCGUAGGCGGCCAGCACAAGUCGGUUGUGAAAUCUCCGGGCUUAACUCGGAAACUGCAUUGGAUACUAUUCGGCUAGAGAGUUGGAGGGGGGAUUGGAAUACUUGGUGUAGCAGUGAAAUGCGUAGAUAUCAAGUGGAACACCAGUGGCGAAGGCGAAUCCCUGGACAACUUCUGACGCUGAGGCACGAAAGCUAGGGGAGCAAACAGG
rnacentral:rRNA from 1 species